UACAGUCAGACAUGCUGGGGAGGCUGUGCGGAAGCAGGGGGAGUCUGCAGGAAGGAAAUGACUGCUGGAGAAGAAACAGAUGCAAUUGAGGAAGACUCCUGGAGCUGGGUUUCCCUGCCUCGGCCCGAACGCAAGUCCCUGUGCUCAGAUUAAUUAGCAAGGAAAUAUUUUCCUGUCUGCAGAGAAAGGCUUCUGGAUUGCCGGUGGGACCCGGGGGUGGGCAGUCUAUCAAAUAGCUACUAAUUAGGUUACUUCCCACUGCUGUUGACAUGCUGGGGACAUGUUCCUGGACCAAAAUAAAAGAGGAGGAGGGGAAAGGAGCUGAGGCAGAGCUGGAGGAGUGGAGCGGGGUCUUCUCUGUGCCUUUCCGAAACCGAAACCGAAACCGGCAGGCGGGGAGGAUGGAGAAGUGGGUCUGGAGCCCAAAGAGGAGAGGAGCUCGGAGGGGUCAGAGCUGGUGGCUGGAGCGAGCCGGGAGCUGCUGUCCCGGGGUCUCACUAUUCUCCACAAGUCUCCAUCCCUGCAGAGGACAGGCGUCAAUGGGGUCAGAUGGCGCCAGUGAUCAUAGCAGGCUUACUGGGUGCCGGUUAUCUGGUGGGUGCUGCCUUCCUGGGCUGGAGAGAUGGCGCGGCAGGUGAAAGCGAUUGCCUUCACGCCUGAUGCCCAGACCUUGGCCCCUCAGACCCACGGAACAGGAAAGAAGCAACCCCCGUAAGAUGUCUUCCGACCUCCACGCCACGCUCACAUACGAUACAAUAUAAUAAUAAUCUUUUUGAAAGGAACUGUCUUCCAAAACAAGUCAUUCAUUUCUUCUCUCAAGCUUGUGAAAGGUCAGGGAAAUGAUGUAUAUUUGCAUCCCCUGUUUCCCCGACUCUGAUAAAGCAGUUUAGCCUUUUUUUUUUCCUAGAUAAAGAAACCGGGGCCCAGAAAAGUUGAUUAACUUGCCUGUGAUUACAUAGCCAAUAAAAAGCUUGAGUUUUGAAUCCAAGACCUGCCCGGGCCCAGCCCUAUAUGCUCUCUGUUCUGUAGAUAGUGUGUGUUUACCAACACCGUGUUACCUCCAGGACCCAACCAAGGAAACUGACUAGUGCAUUCUGGCAUUCUGUGGACGGCCCAAUGCCCGCUUCAUCCGGCUGGACGGUGUUGGUCUCCUUACAUUCUGACUUGGCUGGAGACCAGGCAGCUGAAUGAGCAGUGGGCAAUGGGCCUCCGUACUGCCCACCCUCCCACUGCCCUCCCUCCCACUGCCCACCUUCCCUCUCCAUGCUUCCUUUAUGGACAGAGACCACUGAGUGCUCUUUGCUUACGGCAAGCAGCCCCUUUUGGGAGUCCUGAGCUAACGGUAUAUUUUUCCUACCUUCAGAUUUCUCUCUGGCAACACCCUUCUCUCUGUUAUAAUGGUUCCCUAUGGUUCAAAAGUAUGUGUACCACCCUGUGUAUUACUUAAGGCCAAGAAUCGUGUCUCAUAAUUUUUUGUCUCCUGCCUUUACAUUGCAGCAGGGUUCUGGGUAACAGCUGUCCCAUGAAUAUUGUCCAAGUCAGAGUCAGACCCUUCGAUCUUGUCCAACCUGCUGCUAAAUGUCAUCCUGGAUUUUAAACUGCUGCUGGACGCCUCAGUGAUACUAGGUGUCGAAAUAUUCAGCGCUGAAUGCUGAGGAGAGGCGACAGCCCUUGAGAGCAUCAUUAGCCCUGUGUGUGUCCGACUUCUGCCUCCACGUGGAGUGAGCGGAGGUAGCAUUCUGGAAGGAGCUGCCUGGAGCAGGCAGAGAAGGCUAUGAUCUCAGAACGUAAGAAGCCAGGCCCCGGUGUGAGCUUCCAGGAUGAUAGCACCAAGGAUGCCAGUUAUCAGAAGUGUCUGGGAAUGGAACCGUGUCCCUGACAACCUGCUUGCUCGGAGCAGCCCUGCAUGAGGACAGAACGGUGGGAUGGCAGAGCAAGUGGGUUUCCUAAAAACAGAAGCACCGCUUUCCCGUGGUGAAGGAUGGGUCCUCCCGCAUCCAUCGUGGGACGCUCUGUGCAAGACUGCUAUCCGGAAAGGCAGGGGAAAGGGUCAACGCGUCCGCCCAGAGACGGACAUCAGCAGCCUCUUCCAAGAGCAGCCAAGCAGAGAGAAGCUGGAAGCCCAUGCGGAAGCCACCCAACCCAGUACCAAGCACACAGUGGGUGCCUCGCAAACGCUAGAGAGUCCGGUAGGUGGCAGGUGAGAUCAAGACAGGGGGGAGGACCCGGUGCAAGUCACCACAGUGUUUUUGGAGAAAAAGGGAAGGAUUCUAGUCACAAAGUCCCAGAUGGAAGUGUGCUCCACCCGUCACGGACACUGACCCCAGGGGCAUCUCUGAGUCACAGAGUCAUCCUCUGCAAAUGCUGAGAACAGAGGAAGAAUCCUUGUCUCACAGGGACGGGCGGACCGGGUCAGGUGAUCCAGGUAGACUUCCUGUACAGCACCGGAACUGAAGAAAGCAGAGUGUGGCGGUCCCCAUAGCCUCGGGUAUUCGAACACAUUGUCCCAAGGCUUUGUUCUCUAACCUGCCACAAUCCAAAAGUGGGAUAUUCUAUCUCCCUGGAAACGCCCCUUCCUGCCCACUGCCCGCUGCCACCCGAGCCCUGUUUCCCAGCGACCACUGCUCUGCCUUCGGACGUCUUGCUCACCCAUGCUUCUCCUGGAAUUUCAUAAGAUGCAGUCUCGGGGUAUUUAUUUCAUGGGUUAAUUAGCAUUUCCCCGGUAAUUGAUACACACUUCUUCUGUGUCCAUAUAGGUCAUUUGUUUCCCUCCUAUCAUGGUUCAAAUCUUUUGUGUAUUUUUAGCUGUGUUGUUUGUCUUAUUGAGCUGUAAAAUGUCUUUACAUAUUCUUGAUACAAACUGAGAGAGAGAGAGAGAGAGAGAGAGAGAGAGAGAGAGAUUAAAUUGAUUUCCCUCCAGCCUGUGGCUUGGAUUUUCAUUUUCUUAAUGAUGUCUGUAUUUGGUUCUUGUUAACACUGGAACAAAUUGCCCCAGCCUUAGUAGCUGAAGACAACACAAAUUGCAUUUCUUACUCUCAGGCGAAGUCUCUUCAAAGCCUCUCACAGGAAGCUCGAGGUGUUUUCCAGCCCCGCUCCUUCAUCGGAGUUCAUCUGUCUUGGCAGAUCUCCAAAGUCCUGUAGUUUUUGCAUUUUAUCGGGCAUUUCCACGUCUUCUCAGUGGGAACACUAGUCUGUUACAAGCCACGCAAUCCCGGUAAAAAGCAGAGGCUCUUUUUCACAGCCUCUGGCGCUAUCAUGUAGCUCUGGCCCAAGACUAGCAUUCAUGCACUUUCUGAACAAUCCUACCCGAAUAUCUGCUGUAUUUCAGGCGCAGCUCCAGGUCUGGGAACUCAGAAACAAGCAAUGAGCAAAACGUGGCUGCACACACCUGAAGAGAUACGCAAUCAAUAAAGAUUAAGCACAAAAUAUAGAAUGCUAAACAACGAAGAUCAUUAAGGAAUAGAAAUCAGGACAGGGAAUAGAAAUGUUUGGGGGAGUGAGUUGUAAUUUUACGUAGGACAGCUGAGUAGUCUCCUGAGAAGGUGACAUACACUAGACAGAGCUGGUCAUGGAGUAAGGGAGCCAGUCCUGCAGGUGUGUGGGGAAGAAUCCUCCAGGAAAAUGGGACAAUAAGGGCACAAGUCGCAGGCAGGGACCCGGCCUGAGAAGCUGGAACGGGUGUGAGUUAAGACCUGUGCAGGAAGAGGCGUCACAGGAAAAGCAGGCAGUUUGGGGGGGUCUUUAGGGAGCACAGUUGGGGGGCAGCUUUUACUCAGAGCCUCUAAGUAGUAAAUAGAGAGCAUGACAGGAGCAGCAAGACUUAGUAGCUGGCAAAAUAAUCUAGGAAGGAAGACCAGGCUGUAAAAGAAGAGCUGCAGCCGAGCCUGAGGGUCACGUGUGGGAAAAAGGGAGGAGUCAAAGAGGGGCUGCGGGGUUGGGCCUCGGGGACUGGAAGGAUGGAAUCUCCAUUUAUUAAGAUGAGAAGAGCAGGCCUGGCAGGAUCCCGUUUGGAACACACUUGGAAAUGCGAUCACGACGAUGGCCUCGUUCACCAGCGUGCCAAGCUCACAGGCGGGACACUCAAGAACGUUGAAGGGUGUGAGAGGUAGCCUCCGCCCCCGCCACUCAUGACCACUUAGUGUGAGAUGCAAAUCACUGACCAAUUAUGUCCUUAGACACUCCCAGGGACGCUCGCUCUGCCAGAGCCAGAUCCAAGUCAGUAAAACAAGCAGUUCUGCAGGCUUGACGGAGUCCAAGCCUUCUGUGAUGUCAGUUGCUCUCAAGAGAUGGCUCGCUCAGGCAAGCACCAGGCAUCCAGGCACAGGAGUUUACAUACGCAGCAGCAGCAGCAGCAGCAGCAGCAGUAGCAGCAGCAGCAGCAGCAGCAGCAGCAGCAGCAGCAGCAGCAGCAGCAGCAACAGCUCCCCCAAGCAUUGAAAAAUGUGACUUAAAGCGGGACUUCUUAAACUGUUUCACUCAAUGGAGGCUGGGGAGAUGGCCCUGGGGUUAAGGGCGCUGACUGCUCGCUCUUGCAGAGGACCUAGUUUCAUUUCUCAGCACCCACAUGUUAGCUCACAACAAUCUGUAAAUGCAGUUCCAGGGAUUCCCUCCACAAGUACUACACACACACACACACACACACACACACACAUGGGGGGCAGGUAAAACACUAAUACACACACACUAUACACACACACACACACACAUAUAUACAUAUAUAUGGGCAAUAUAUGGGCAUUGCACACACAUGGUGUACAGAAAUACAUACAGACAAGAAAAAAUAUAAACAUAAAAACCCCUCAAGAAUGUAAAAAGAAGAUUGUUUGGUGUGUGUGUGUGUGUGUGUGUGUGUAUAUAUAUAUAUAUAUAUAUAUAUUUCCCACUCAAAACCCCUUUAUGUUCAAAAAAGUGUUAUGUAAUUCUAACUAUUCAGCUGUGUAAAACAGGCACACAAGCAAACAUUUACUGAUAGCAAAUCAUUAAAGUUUUAUUUUAAAACAA